CUAUGGGGUCGCUAUGGGGUCUCUGUGGGCUUUCAUGGGUCUCUGUGGGUCGCUAUGGGUCACUGUGGGUUGUUACGGGGUCUCUAUGGGGUUUCUGUGGGGUCUCUAUGGGGUCUCUGUGGGUUUCUAUGGGGUCUCUAUGGGUCUCUGUGGGUCUCUGUGGGUCGCUAUGGGGUCUCUAUGGGGUCUUUGUGGGGUGUUAUGGAGUCUAUGGGUUUCUAUGGGGUCUCUGUGGGUCUCUGUGGGUCGCUAUGGGUCUCUGUGGGUCGCUGUGGGUCUCUAUGGGUCCCAUGGGUCUCUAUGGGUCUCUAUGGGUUUCUAUGGGUCUCUAUGGGGUCUCCAUGGGUCUCUGUGGGUCGCUGUGGGGUCUGUGGGUCGCUAUGGGGUCUCUAUGGGUCUCUGUGAGGUCCCUGUGGGUCUCUAUGGGUCUCUGUGGGUCUCUAUGGGUCGCUGUGGGUCACUAUGGGUCAGUGUAGGUCGCUAUGGGUCACGGUGUGGGUCUCUAUGGGUCGCUGUGGGUUGCUAUGGGUCAGUGUGGGUCACUAUGGGUCGCUGUGUGGGUCGCUAUGGGUCGCUGUGGGUUGCUAUGGGUCUCUAUGGGUCUCUAUGGCUCUCUAUGGUCUCUGUGGGUCUCUGUGGGUUUCUGUGGGUCGCUAUGGGUCCCGCUAUGGGUCGCUGUGGGGCUGCCCCAUAGUACGCGUCGGUGGAGGAGGCGGCGGCGACGCGGGAGGCGCUGCACGGCGUCAGGUGGCCGCAGUCCAACCCC
rnacentral:lncRNA from 1 species